GACGAACGCUGGCGGCGUGCUUAACACAUGCAAGUCGAGCGGUAAGGCCCUUUCGGGGGUACACGAGCGGCGAACGGGUGAGUAACACGUGGGUGACCUGCCUUUAGCUCUGGGAUAAGCCUGGGAAACUGGGUCUAAUACCGGAUAUGACUCCGCGGUGCAUGCUGUGGGGUGGAAAGCCUUGUGCGGCUGGAGAUGGGCCCGCGGCCUAUCAGCUUGUUGGUGGGGUGAUGGCCUACCAAGGCGACGACGGGUAGCCGGCCUGAGAGGGCGGCCGGCCACACUGGGACUGAGACACGGGCCCAGACUCCUACGGGAGGCAGCAGUGAGGAAUAUUGCACAAUGGGGGCAACCCUGAUGCAGCAACGCCGCGUG
rnacentral:rRNA from 1 species